rnacentral:rRNA from 1 species
AUUGAACGCUGGCGGCAUGCCUUACACAUGCAAGUCGAACGGCAGCGGGGGAGAAGCUUGCUUUUCCUGCCGGCGAGUGGCGAACGGGUGAGUAAUACAUCGGAACGUGCCCUGUAGUGGGGGAUAACUAGUCGAAAGAUUAGCUAAUACCGCAUACGACCUGAGGGUGAAAGUGGGGGACCGCAAGGCCGCAUGCUAUAGGAGCGGCCGAUGUCUGAUUAUCUAGUUGGUGGGGUAAAGGCCUACCAAGGCGACGAUCAGUAGCUGGUCUGGGAGGACGAUCAGCCACACUGGGACUGAGACACGGCCCAGACUCCUACGGGAGGCAGCAGUGGGGAAUUUUGGACAAUGGGCGAAAGCCUGAUCCAGCAAUGCCGCGUGUGUGAAGAAGGCCUUCGGGUUGUAAAGCACUUUUGUCCGGAAAGAAAUGGCGCUGGUUAAUACCUGGGGUCGAUGACGGUACCGGAAGAAUAAGGACCGGCUAACUACGUGCCAGCCGCCGCAGUAA